ensembl:lncRNA
CAGGAACACAGGUGAGGUAAUGAACAGGAGGAUCUUAAAUAGGGACAGUGAUCAGGAACACAGGUGAGGUAAUGAACAGGAGGAUCUUAAAUAGGGACAGUGAUCAGGAACACAGGUCUGUGAGAGAGGGAAUUGGAUCUCAGCCCAUGUUUCACCUCCUUGACCUGAAUCCUGCAACCACACAACAAUCCUGCAUUUAUUCAACAAAUUGAAACAUAUUUUACCAAAUCAAAAUUGAUUUGUCCCAUAUUUCCUUCAGUUCUACAUUCAUAACUUGCCAAUGACAAAAAACAGCACACAGGUGUUCUGAUCGUGGCAAAUACUUGGCAAAUACACUGGCAAACAUGUACCCUGAAAAAAAUCCCUUAUCUUCAAUUAUUUGGGCACUGAAAGAAAACUACUUUGAAGUGGUUAUAACUUUUGUUAAGCUUUUUUGCAAAAUGGCAGCUACGUUCUUCCAAAGACUAUAAAACAGGUGUCCCAUGAGAGUCCUGUUAAGUUAUCCUGUGGUCCCAUAUUUGAAAAUGUGUCCUAACCCAGUUCAGCAGCUGAUUCCUCCCUCCUCAGCCUCUUCUCCUGGGCCUCACGCUGUAAAUAGGCUGAAGCUGGAACUGGC